AUUGAACGCUGGCGGCAUGCCUUACACAUGCAAGUCGAACGGUAACAGGUCUUCGGAUGCUGACGAGUGGCGAACGGGUGAGUAAUACAUCGGAACGUGCCCGAUCGUGGGGGGAUAACGAAGCGAAAGCUUUGCUAAUACCGCAUAAGAUCUACGGAUGAAAGCAGGGGACCGCAAGGCCUUGCGCGAACGGAGCGGCCGAUGGCAGAUUAGGUAGUUGGGGGGAUAAAAGCUUACCAAGCCGACGAUCUGUAGCUGGUCUGAGAGGACGACCAGCCACACUGGGACUGAGACACGGCCCAGACUCCUACGGGAGGCAGCAGUGGGGAAUUUUGGACAAUGGGCGAAAGCCUGAUCCAGCCAUGCCGCGUGCAGGAUGAAGGCCUUCGGGUUGUAAACUGCUUUUGUACGGAACGAGAAGACUCUUUCUAAUAAAGAGGGUCCAUGACGGUACCGUAAGAAUAAGCACCGGCUAACUACGUGCCAGCAGCCGCCGUAACAC
rnacentral:rRNA from 1 species